rnacentral:rRNA from 1 species
GAUGAACGCUAGCGGCAGGCCUAACACAUGCAAGUCGAGGGGCAUCGCGGUGCAGCAAUGCACUGGCGGCGACCGGCGUACGGGUGCGUAACGCGUAUGCAACCUAGCCCCGCACCGGGGGAUAGCCCGCCGAAAGGCGGAUUAAUACCCCAUGGUCCCGGGGGCCCGCAUGGGCAUCCGGGUAAAGCCUUGGCGGUGCGGGAUGGGCAUGCGUGCCAUUAGCUGGCUGGUGGGGUAACGGCCCACCAGGGCAACGAUGGCUAGGGGGUCUGAGAGGAUGGUCCCCCACACUGGUACUGAGACACGGACCAGACUCCUACGGGAGGCAGCAGUGAGGAAUAUUGGUCAAUGGGCGGAAGCCUGAACCAGCCAUGCCGCGUGCGGGAUGAAGGCCCUACGGGUUGUAAACCGCUUUUCCCCGGGAAGAAUAACCCCGAUGAGUCGGGUGAUGCCGGUACCGGGGGAAUAAGGAUCGGCUAACUCCGUGCCAGCAGCCGCGGUAACAUACUCGUA